CGAGCACGCGCGUGUGGCAUAUCAAUAAGCGGAGGAAAAGAAACUAACAAGGAUUCCCUUAGUAACGGCGAGUGAAGCGGGAAGAGCUCAAAUUUGAAAUCUUCAAGGUUCUACCUUGACGAAUUGUAGUUUAUAGAAGUGUUUUCUGUUAGUAGGAGUGGCAAAAGUUCUUUGGAAUAGGACAUCAUAGAGGGUGAGAAUCCCGUAUUUGGUCAUUCCUUCUAGCGUUGUGAUACACUUUCAACGAGUCGGAUUGUUUGGGAAUGCAGUCCAAAAUGGGUGGUAAAUUUCAUCUAAAGCUAAAUAUUGGCGAGAGACCGAUAGCGAACAAGUACCGUGAGGGAAAGACGAAAAGAACUUUGAAAAGAGAGUUAAACAGUACGUGAAAUUGUCAAAAGGGAAGCGUUUGACACCAGUGUUGUUUUUCCGAAAAUCAAUUACGAAUGUUUUAGUUUUUAAGGAGUUAUGACUUCAUCGGCUUGCUUCUCUCUUUAUGAAACUUUCUUAAUGCACUUUUCGGUUAACAAGUCAACAUCAAUUUCUUUUGUUGUAAAAGGGUAUGAGGAAGGUGGCUUUCUUUUCGGAGAAAGUGUUUAUAGCCUUGUGCCUCUGCAAUCGGAGAGAUUGAGGUCUGCAGCGUAGAUCCUUCGGGGUUAGAUACGUUUGUGCUAAGUUAUAGCUUUUCAUAGACAACUUGUUGACUAUGUUUAGUCUUGUAGCUUACUCGCUUACUGCUAUUUUACCUACGCUUAGGAUGUUGAGUAGCGACAUACGCA
rnacentral:rRNA from 1 species